UAGCCAUCAGGUGAUGGGGUUCCACCUAAGCUUUUGCUUCAACCGCCCGUUCUUUUGAACCGUGCUAAUGACUCCUACAGAAUC
ncrna:Vibrio sp. MED222 Fluoride riboswitch